GAAGAGUCACUGGAAAAAAUAAAUCAUCAACACAUAGCGGUGAAAUCAGUCGAAAGCCGCGGCUGAUGAAGAUGUAGAGAGAUGGAGAGGAGCCAACUGUGUCAUUGUUCUACAUUAUCUCCCUGACUCUCUCCCUGGUCAAAUUGAACUCAACUUCCCCUGUAAACCAGAUCUGCAUAAAAGGAAAUGGAAGAUCAAUCAAAUUCUUUGGCAAGGACAAACAUUGUAUGGCCCCAAACAUGAGGGCUAAGCAGCGGUGUGCACAGAAACAGAGGAACCCCAGAACACAAGCCACAAUUGGAAACCCUUGAUGUGUAAGGUCACACUACCAGGAUGUCCAAAACCCCUUAAUAUGUCCACCCGCCUUCAUCUUGCACCCUUGUGUGCAUUUGGUGGGCACCUGAGGAAGACUAUUGUACCUCUUCUAAAACAUGGUGAUGAACUACUCUAAAGAGCGGAUGCGGUACCGGCAGCGGUUCAAUCUAUCAAAGGGGACUGAUUCAAUCACCAUCCAGCAGUUCCAGUGAAGGGGAAUUGAACCCCGUACCGGCGUAGCUCUGCUAUACAGACCUCCGCUACUCCGACCGGCACAGGUGGAUGACAUCACCGACCAGGAAACCAUCUCCAGGUCAGGUCACGUGAGACGCCGAGAAGGAGAAGCUGAGAGACUACCUCGUGGCAGGAGGUAGGCAGCUAACGCCGAUACUAAAGAAAGCACAAAGUAUUCCUUUGGAUGUCAGAACCAUAUACCGGCGACCGCACGGUGGAUACUUUUUCAGCAACUUGUAUGCAGAUCACUGGCAAGUUAUCUUAUAAGUAUCAGAGCAUUGGAAAAGUUUAAAUUUAAUACGCUAUUGACAGACACCACGCAGCACAAUCAAGUGGUCUUAUUUUUGGAGUACUCCUGUUAUUUAGGUAUAUGCGUGAGCUCCGCAUCCAAAGUACCUAUUUAUUUAUGCUAAUGAGUUGAUAUGCAAUUAGGA